rnacentral:lncRNA from 1 species
UCCACCAACUUUAUCACCAUCACGUUCUGACAAACAAGGGCAUGCUGCAAAUCAUGCAUAAACUCUUGGACGAGCAAAAUAUUGUCGAUGAUGUAGCAGCCAUUGAGAAAAGCAUUCUACUCCUGACUAAUCAAACAUGGAACAAUCAGCUUCAGACGUCCAAUCAGGAUCCUCGCACAUACUUUAUAGAGAGUUAUAUAAAGGUUGAUCAUUCUGAAGUACCCGGA